GACGAACGCUGGCGGCGUGCUUAACACAUGCAAGUCGAACGGUGAAGCGCCUUCCUUUUUGGUGGGUGUGGAUGAGUGGCGAACGGGUGAGUAACACGUGAGUAACCUGCCCCCUUCUUCUGGAUAACCGCAUGAAAGUGUGGCUAAUACGGGAUAUUCUGGGUCUGUCGCAUGAUGGGUCUGGGAAAGAUAUUGUUUCGGUGGGGGAUGGGCUGGCGGCCUAUCAGCUUGUUGGUGGGGUGAUGGCCUACCAAGGCGGUGACGGGUAGCCGGCCUGAGAGGGUGGACGGUCACACUGGGACUGAGACACGGCCCAGACUCCUACGGGAGGCAGCAGUGGGGAAUAUUGCACAAUGGGCGCAAGCCUGAUGCAGCGACGCCGCGUGAGGGAUGGAGGCCUUCGGGUUGUGAACCUCUUUCGCCAGUGAAGCAGGCCUGCCUCGUUUGUGGGUGGGUUGACGGUAGCUGGAGAAGAAGCGCCGGCUAACUACGUG
rnacentral:rRNA from 1 species